AAAGGGUGCCAAGUGUCAAGAUGGAGCUGUGAAACCGUCUCCCACUCAAUACAGUCAGACGGCACAUCGUGGGGUGUUUUUGUUUGUAAGAUGAUUUGAGCAGUCUGUGCCUGUUUUGUGGAGAGCAGGACAAUCUGGAGGAUGCAGUGUCACAACAGAAAUGGGAGACACCAGCAGCUCCGGGAACUUAGUGUCUUGUCCCUCUCCUCUCUGCGCUGCCUCAUCUUCCAGAGCAUCCCUGAGCCUUGGAGACAGACAGCCCCUCACCUCCCUCAGCACCUUCGCUGCCUGCCUCUCACAUCGCCAGCCCAGCAUGCCUUUCAAUUCAGCUGCACUCAGCCAGCAAGAUAGUCCAGGCACCAAAAGCUGUCCUAACCUAGUAAGACCUGCUUUUACAAAACUGCCCUGCAGUGCUAAAGACUGAAGGCACUGAGUUGA